GAGUGCAGCACAGAGCAUUCUGGGUUUGUAGGUUGGUCUGUGUUGUUAGAUGAUAGUGGAGGAAAUGCAAGAAUUCGUCGAGGUUUUGGGAUUGUUUGGCCGUGGGAUUUACCCCCUCUUUUCAAUGUGUUGUGUGCGUACAUUUAAAUCAAGAGGGAAGCCUGCUGGAGAGUGCCUGAGCUUCUUUCUCCAAGACACUCACUGCGUUGAGAAGUCAUAUGCUUCUUGGGAGGGAUGACAAAGAGUGCCUGCCUUGAACUCUUUUAAGUUCACUAAGAUGCUGUAUUUUUCAGCUGGACUGUCAUCUUUGUGCUGUGUUGCAAUUUUGCAUUUUUCACAGAUGCUUGCAAACUUGACUUUGUGGACGAUGUAGCCUGCAAGAUGGAAGAGAACACAUUUCUCUGUUUUUGUGAGGUCAGUUGCAGCUCUGUUCACUGCCAUCAGCUGUUCCACUCUGACUGACGGAGUGAUAUUUUGCUCCACUGUAUCCAGGAAGUCUGCCAAAAAGCUGCUGUCAUCUUCCUGGUAGCUCCCAGACCUGAUGGUGGUGAGGAACUGCCUCACAGAUAUGAUUCGCAGUGCAUGAUGGAAUUCCACUGGAGUUGGGACAGGAUUUUUAGAUCUCACACAGCUGGAUGUAUUUUCAAGGCAGUCUUGUGUGAACCUUGAUGUUAACACAAACCUGUGUCCUCGUGUCAGCAUCUCCUCCUGUAUGGCUAAAACUGAUGAUGUUGCCAUUAUUAUCCCAGUCUGAACAGGCUUCCAGCCUCCCUUUUGACCAAUCUUUAUCCCACGGAAAAGAUGGACGAUGUCUUGGAGGAAGGUGAUGGCCUUUUGGUACUCCUUCAUCUUGAGCCUGCUCAGGGCUGUAAUUGGAUGGCGAGAUGACAUAAGGUCAAACCAAUGAUCAACUUGCUCCAGGAGCCAUGCCGUAGUCAUGUAGGACAGAGGGCGGUUUUCUUGCUGCACCAUGUAUUUCAGCCCAGCACUUGUUGCUUUACUGAAUACAUUUAGAGCAGGACCAGCCUUCAUCUUCUCAAAGUGACUUGGUUCGAUGGCUGCAGCUGAUAGAUGGGGAGCUAUUUUUAAUGCCAUCCCUUCUUGAAAAGUUAGCAAGUCCUUAAUAGGAACCACUGAAACCUUGUUAGAAAGGAGCUUCUCUUUGUUUACAAUGUCCUCAGGGAUUCUUAACACCUGUCCACGGACAAGGGCACUUUUAGAUUUUUUACCAGAUGUGUUGCUGGAUGUGGCACUGAGGUUUUAUUGUGGUCAACUCCAAAGGAUUUCCACAUGGCCUGGUUAGGGCUACCCAUGUCGGUGGUGACAUUAAGCACAUGCAGCCCUAUGGAUGCUGCCCUCUGUAUUAUUUCAAUUAUUAUUGGCCUGUACUCUGCUCCAUUGGUAGAACUGCCACUGUAAUGAUAUGCCACUACUUGUUUCCACCGUGUUGUGCUUCCCGCCAACAUAAACACACAGGCAUGUGUUGCUACUCCUGUGUGACCUGGUAAGGUCACGUCACCAUACAGUUUGCCAGUAAGCAUGUGCAACUCCACACUUGGUGUGAUGGCCAUUUCAUCCAAGGUCAACACACACUCCCUUUCAAGCUCUGUCAAUCCGUCUAUCUUCAGUUUUAGGAAAUCAAAGACCUCUGUCAACACACCAGACUCAAAUUUAACACACUGCAUCCUUCACUGCAGGGUUCUUAUUCCUGGCAGGGGAAUCUGCAAUUCCUGCAGGGUAAUUAUUAAGAGUUUUUACUCAUUAUACCUGUGUCACCCACCUGUAACACUAUAGCUGUGAUCAGCAGCUAUAGGCUCUAUAUUUACAGGUCCAGUGGUGCAUCGUGGCAUAGGGGCCCUCCUUUUUUUCAUCAUGGGGCGAUGCACAAAGAUGGUGGGAAUAGCAUCUGCUCUCAGCCUAAUCUUGCCCUUUUUGGUCUUGACAAACUGGUCUGCCUCAAAAUGUGCCUGCAGAAUGAUCACAAGUACCACAUGGGCGUUCAGUGGAGCCUUAAGACUGCCUGCAAUGAGACGGCACCCUCACCCUGUACCAACCCUGCUGCAAUUUUUUCACUGUUGCUUAUUUUUAAUAAACCAAACCUUGUCUCCC